AUGACUCUCGGCAACGGAUAUCUCGGCUCUCGUAUCGAUGAAGAACGUAGCGAAAUGCGAUACUUGGUGUGAAUUGCAGAAUCCCGUGAACCAUCGAGUUUUUGAACGCAAGUUGCGCCCGAAGCCGUUAGGCUAAGGGUACGUUUGCCUGGGCGUCGUA
rnacentral:rRNA from 1 species